ACUUCGAUAGCUCAGUUGGUAGAGGGGAGGACUGUAGAUCCUUAGGUCGCUGGUUCAAAUCCGGCUCGAAGGA